rnacentral:rRNA from 1 species
GACGGAGGAUGCAAGUGUUGUCCGGAAUCACUGGGCGUAAAGGGCGCGUAGGUGGCGCGGGAAGUCUUCGGUGAAAGCUCAGGGCUCAACCCUGAGUCGGCCGGCGAUACUCCCGUGCUUGAGCUCACUAGAGGCAGAUGGAAUUCCGGGUGUAGCGGUGGAAUGCGUAGAGAUCCGGAAGAACACCGAUGGCGAAGGCAAUCCCCUGGGCCUGCACUGACGCUCAUGCACGAAAGCGUGGGGAGCAAACAGG